ACAAAGCGAAGCAUUGAAUUGCAAUCUCUCUCUCGUGACAUGACAUCAUGGUAUUUAAGUUGUAAAUUAAUUCUUGUCACGCGACACAGACAACAAUCGUGUCUUUAAUUCUCGAGUUCGAAAUUCUCGCGAAAAAUACAAAUUAUAUAAAUUUAACAUUUUAUUUUAAUCUUAGAUUUAUAGGUUAUAAUUAAAUAAUUACGAACGAAAGAAAGAAUGUAUUUUAUUAAAAAUUAUGGAGAAAACCGAUUUAAACGGUUUUUAAAUAGAUUCCUUUCAAUUUAGUUACAAAGCUCGCCAAUUUACAUAGUAAUGUAUCGAUUUGCAUAAUUCACACUGUUGUAUAACACUAGAGUGUGGUGUAUGUGCAUCACCUAUGCGUUAUAUAUUGACGAUAUAUUUUCGAGGUAAAAAUUUGUCAGAAAUUUCCCAGAAAUAAUCCAGGAUGUAGCAUCCUAACUGCACCAUUAAUAUACAAACCGAUUUCGCAAGAAAGCGUGGUCCAAACGUGGCCGAUGGCCGUGGACCAAAAUAAAUUUGUUUCGAGAGCACUCGCCGGCCGCAUGGUUUUCUCUUCUUUCUUUUAUAUUUUUCUUUCCUCUUAAACAAUUCCAGAUUCAUUGUUUGUUUAUCAUUCAUUCUUAGACUUUAUUAUAUUUUCUUAGGUUUUAUUCCUAUUUUUUAACUACUAUUGUAUAAAUCAGUGAUCGAUAUAUAAUAUUUAAAGACGAAACAAAUGUCAGUCUAGGUUUCAUUUCUAUAGCUAUGUUUAUAAACGCAUGUCUGAAUGCGCAUAAACAUUCGCAGUCUAGUAAUUAAAUAUAGGUAUUUUGUUUACCAUUUAAUGAUCUAGAAUCUAAGAAGAUCAAUCGGUAAGUCAUUUACAAUAAUAAAACGCCAUUGAACUAGUGCGACAUCUACAUUAUCCCGAUUUAUGAAACAACUUUCUUAUAACUCAAAAGCAUCUCUCCUUAUGCAUUUCAAAAUAAUUAAAUUCCGUGUUAGAAGGAAUGUUAAAACCCUCAAAGCAUGGUUUCAAGCGCUAGGAAUGGAAAAUUACAAAAAUAAUAUUUGACUAUUGUUUCCUAGACACCAUAAUAUCGCUAACAUUAUAUGUUUCUUAAAUAGCUUUCUUUGUAAGCUUCCAAAUAGCUUUCUUGCUUUUGUCUCGUGAAGAACUUGUCUGAUUGAACUUCUGAAAUGCAUGUGCGAUACGUUAUCAUAUUUUGUAAACGGCUUCUCCUGCAAAUACAACUUGCAUAGUGCUGCUACCAGCGUGUACUAAGGUAGAAUUUCAAACUAAGAAAUAACGAACUGUUCGUGCAUCGACAAAUUCUUCAUACAACGAGCUCAUCCAAGCGUUACCUUGGAGGCUGCCCAAGCGUUAGGUUACACUGUUACACCAAUUUUCAUGAGCAAUCUCGCGUGAGACACGCGAGUUCUUUGCCAUUUACGAACUAUGAUGGAUACGUACAAUGACACUAAAAAGUAUGUGUACGUAUUGGGUUGUAACAUAAGUAAGUUCGGAUAAACUCAAUAUAUUUAUUGACCGAACUUAUUUAUGUUACAAUCCAAUACUAUUAACGAACACGUGCAUUUAUAUAAGAAAUAGAGAGAUAAAGAUUAAAAAUAUGGAAAAAGCUGAAAAUAAAAGAAGUUGAAUCCUAUAAUCAUUGAGAGUUCGGGAAAACAAGGAGAAAAGCAAGCAAUCAUCGAUCUUCGGUAUAAACGUGGCUGACGUUAUGAGCCACGUUAAGAGCAAACAAUUUAUUAUGCAAACUGUGGCUAGGUCUCGAUUACGCGAUAUAUCGAGAACGAUUAGCAAGCCGAAAAUACGUCGGAUGACCCGAUCGAUCAGAGAACAAUUUGUAUCAAUGAAAAGAAGAUUAUCUUGACGGGUGGUUAUCUCGACGACCAUAAGAGGUCUUCUCAGAUGCGACAGGAGAAUCUCGCUAGCGUAGUUGCUGACACAGAUCGGCACAAAGCGGCGGGGCUUCCUUUAUCCAAUUACCAGACAAGCUUUCUUUUUAUUAUCCGGCCGGCCCUUUCUCAUACUGUAAAAUAUGUACGACUGACACUUGAUACACAUUGACUGCAAUCUGUACAAGACGACGAAUAGCAACGCGACAUUGAAACUGGACUAUCUUAAUGAAUUCUCAUCCCUUAACUACAAAUCUUUUUUUCAAUUUUAUGGAUGAAGACUUGGAAGAAUGUAAAUUUAGCAAGAAUGCAUAUUAAAAUGUAGUUCUAGGAUUUGCUUUACUUUCCUAAUUUUCUAUUUUGAAUUAUUUAAACGGAAUAAAAGAUGAAUGACCAUAGAAAACAAUUGCAUAGUUGAAGAGACGUGUUCCAGCUUUCUAAUAGAUCGAUUAAAUUUCUCAUAUCGUGUUAUAUUUUUAGAUGUAAUGGAAAAUGAAUGGUCAUAAAAGAAUUACAGCAAAUGCAGAAAUGUGCCUAGAUAACCGAGUUAGUUAAUGUAUGUACAUCGAAUAUACAUUAGCAAACAGAUAUAUAUUUAAUUGUAAAGUAAUGGUUUAACGGAUCGCGAGAAAACUAACUUCCUGUCGUCUUUACUUCAGGACUUAAUCAUUCUUAAUAAGAGGAUACUUGGAUCGGAUAUAAAUAACCUGUUUCCCGUCAUCACAUGUGACCAUAUCAGUCAUAUAACGUCAUUUCAGUCAGUCAUAUCAGUCAUCUGCUGAAUAAAUGUUUAAAAAAAGAAGAGAAUGAUAAGAUUAUUAAUUCUCUAUUAUUCCUGAUAUAUCUAGUAUUUUCUAACUUAAUUUUUUCGACGAAUAAUGGCAAUAAAUCUCAUUUAACUUUUCAAUAUUCGCAUUCAUUGAAUCUCCUCUUGUUUCAGCUAUAAAUACCACCACCGAGAAUAAUCGCGAAAUUUUCACAAGGUCUUCAAGCGCUCGUGCACGCUACAUCUGUCGCGAUUCUCCAUCUUCUUUGUUGACACUCGCUCCGUCCACUACCAAUUGAUCAUCGUCAAUUCGAAAUAUGAAAGCACGCGUGAUCAUCAAAAGAAGCACGGUUUUGCAUCGUGACGCUGCUCGAUUGAGUGCACGUGGAAAAUUAGAUUGAAUAUCCCUGAGAAAGACCCUAUGAACCGCCUCAUCGAGUUGUAAUUAAAUGGUAACGGGUAUUUCGUAAGCUGUGCUCCCGGACCAAGGGCGCUCGCAUGAUCGACGAUCGUGAGAAAAGGCGCAGCGGAGAAAUCGUUUCCGUCCGUUUUUCCAACGCGCUUCACGGCCAAGAAUUAAUGAGACCCUCUGCACGCGCGGAUCUCGUGUCUGUGAAUGGAAUCUUCGUUGUGAAGUCAACGAUGGAUGAUAUUCUUUUUUCAACUAUCGGAUUUCUGCUAUCUACAGGGAUAUUUUCUCAGUAGCUACCACCUCGACAUUUUUAAGGAUUUGAAAGAUUUUUUAAUUUCAUGAUUGCAAUCUUUUACACGUAGUUUAUGAUUCGACUAUGGAUUUUUAAAUUUGCAAAGACCUAACGUACCGAAAGUACGUGAAACUUCCAACGCAAAAUUUUUUAUUACAGUAUUUAGAAGGUGAAUCAAAUUUAUGCCUAAGUCCCAUUUUUUUUUUCGUUACUUCCAUAAAAAUACGAAUUUACAUAAAAAUCCGCAGCCUAGUUAUAACUUUGAUAUAUACAGGGUGGUUGGUAACUAGUGGUACAAGCGGAAAGGGGGUGAUUCUACGCGAAAAAAGAAGUCGAAAAUAUAGAAUAAAAAUUUUUCGUUUGAGGCUUUGUUUUCGAGAAAAUCGACUUUGAAUUUUCGCUCGGUACGCGUGCACUUCAUCACGUCUCGUUAUAACGGAUCUCACUGUAGAUCGUUUUCUCGAUAGACAAAUUUAAAAAACAAAAUAAAAAAAAAAUUUUUAUUCUAUAUUUUCGACUUCUUUUUUCGCGUAGAAUCACCCCCUUUCCGCUUGUACCAGCAGUUACCAACCACCCUGUAUAUACAUAUAUUUUAUUGCAAUCGUUGAUUAAAGUUUCUUACACCAAGGAAUUAAGAAGGAUUCUGCAGAACCAAUCAGGAGUUUAAAUCAAUUUGUGAAGAUAUACGUCGGAGAUUGUUAAAGCAACUCUCACUUGAUGAACUUCUGAUCGCUCACGAAUGUGCCUUGCGCGUGCAAUCAUUCAUCAUUCCAGAUAUACACAGCAAUUACUUUUUGGAACGGAACGAAGGCAAGGUGUUUCAUAAGUGUAUUUUAAGGACUGCAUGGAAUUCAAAGAAUAAUCUCCCUCGUUUCAUUCUUUUUUUUUUUUUUAAAUUGCAGAGUUUCAGUAGCAACUACUGUAGACAUGUUAUUACGUAAAUCUUCUGCGAUGCAAACAACCAGGCAUUAAUUAUUGAUGAAUAGGAAUUUAAUGAAAACCAUGUUUAUGACGAUUAGAGAUCUCCUAUGAAUGACAAUAAAUACAGACCUAUUAAUUCUGUUAUGAAAGUUGAUUCGAUGAAAUUGAAGACAUACAUAUAAUUAAAAAGUUAUAUAACACGUAUUGUAUGAAAGUAUGCACUGUAUACCAAAAAUUAUAUUAUGAACUAGAUUGUACAUUGUACAGUAUACAAUAUACUGCUCUAAAGGCAUAUAUAUAUGUAUUAUAUACCAAACUAAAUACAUAGGAAGUAAUAUUUAUUUUUAUGAAAAUAAUGAAGAGAUUCUUAAUGUUUAGAAUCAAGUGUUUUGCGCGUUAAAACAUUGAAACUAUACAGAUACUUUCACCCUAGCGUUCAUUUAUGGAGCAGCAGUGUGAAAAGAGACGGGAGCUACAUUUUCAUACGUGCCAUGUGUCGACCAUAAUUAAAUCCUAAUUGCUGGAGCCAGACUUAAUUUGAUUUGACGCUAAAAAAAAAAAAAGAAAAAAAGAAAACCUGGAUAGUGUCGAUAACCGUACGUGUAAGGUCUUUGAUCUUGGUUGACAUAGUUUCCAUUGAAAUGUCGUGGAAUGCGUCACGCGUGUCUGCCGACACUUUUACAGAUUAAAAUAAGAAUUGUUGAGGCCAAACACCAUGAAUAAAUGCACAUAAAUUUUCCUUCGUUUAAAAGUAUCGUAUAUGUACACUUUAAUAUCUAUCAAUUGAUUUUGCAACUUAAUACAAUAUGAUUUUAAUUAAUGUGUGCUAAUGGACGUUAUAGCAAGCUUGUAACUAAUGUGGCGGAACACCUAUAACAUAAUUUAUAAGCAAGUGUAAUGAUUAAAAUACAAGGAACAUUUUAUUUUUGUUUACAUUAUUCCUUAUUUGUAAUUGAUCUGGUUUAUAAUACGAAGGAAAUCACAUUUGCUAUUGCAAAUAGAUUUGCUAUGCAAAUGGCAGCGGUCGAGGACAGAAAUAUUUCAGAGGAAUCCAUCUAAAAAUGUAUGGCACUCAAUGGGUCUAAUUAUAUGCAGACAGCUUGUCUCUCCCAAACGUUACACGAAUAUCCAAGCUUUCACUUGUGUUAUUUAAAUACCAGGAUCAUACUUUUCCAAGUUGCUAAAUCUGUUGACUCGCGAUUUUUUCCAUUAUUACCAAAACGAUUAUAUCACAUUCUUUGAAUUAAUUACUUAGAAAUUAGCGAGUUGCUUGCUGGUCAAUGUUUUCUGCUAGUCGGCUAAAAAUACUGCAAUCUCUGUAAACAUGUUAGAAAAUCCCUACAUAUACCGUAUGUGCAAUAGCAAAUGUGCUAUUGUGAAAUGUGUAUCAGCCAAACUUUAUCAAAACAAAUUUAUGUAAACAAAUAUACUGAAUGUGCAUCAUAAAACAAAAUAAGAUGCAAAUGUUUUUCAUUUGGUGAUUUAUUUCUAAUCUGGUACUCCUAGUUCCAAUAAAAGUGUGCAAGUAUCAGAUAAAUUUAGUUUAAAUGUUGCAUACAAGAAGAAAGAAUACUUCAGUUCCUGCUUCUGGGUAAAAGCAUACAGUGCUGGCUAUAAGUACCAGAACUCUUGCAGAACUCUUGCUUUCCAUUAUUUUUGUUUUCUAAAUAUUUUAUUAUAAUAAGAUAAUAAAAUCGCAAUAAUAUAAAUACAAUCUACGUUAUAAUGUAAAAUACUAAAUAUGGUAUUUGUCAAAGUAGAUACAACGAGUAGGUAUCCUGAUAUUUAUAGCUAAUAGUACGAUGCAAAUGUUUUAUAAUAAGACACCUAGCAAGACACCUCUUAUAAGAUAACUAUGAAAAGAUAGUAGCGUAAGAAUGCAUAGCGUACCUCGUGCACGUACGCAUACACUGUGAAACAGCAAUAAAAGGGGAAGGGAAAGAAUGCAACGUAUCUGUCUACGUGACCAAAUUAACAUUAAGCCCGAAACAAGCAGUCAUGUCGACGGAACAGGUAACAUAAUACCUACGAGCGAGCAGUGAACAAACGUUACGUCUUAUUAUCGACACUUUGUUGCAGAAAGUACUGUAAUCACUCUAACACGAUUACGCGUUAAUAAGCACGUUUUUUGCGGCAACCACCGGAUCCAUAGACGGAAAAACUGGUUUGAAACUGUGUUGUGGAUAUUCAUUGAGACACUCGGUUUCUUCUCGUCCUACUAUCGCCUUCUCCUGCCGUUGUCAUCGAGAAUUCAAAGAAUCGUGAAAGCAGAGAUACUGGUACGUGAUCGAAAUGCCAUAACUUUGGCACGAGACUCCUGGAUACCGGCAAAAUUCGUGACGGAACUCGGAUACAAGUCGAUCGAGCGUCUCCUCUAGGUUAUCGCACAUUUACUAAAUUCUGGUUCUUACUGGAAUUAUGUGGAGAAAUCCGGCCGGAUGUUUUCAACCAGCAUGUUUCAUCAAUAUUUAGAUUUGAAAGUGACAUUUUACAUAAAGAUUAGACCUUUCAGGCAAUUGCAUUCUAAUAAUCUAUUUAUUAAGUAAACGAUAGAUGUUUUUAUUUUUGGGGUUAGGUUGAGGUUAGGUUCUUAUUUUUGGUAAAACUGGUGAUAAAUUCUAGUCCAUUACGUAUUUUGUAAAAAAAAUUAUUAAGGAAAAUGUAUUUCUAUUAUUAAUUAUAAGACUGCGGACUUUUUUUAGCAUUUAUGGGAAAUUCUAAGGUGCAAAAAUGCACAGAAUGCAUAUAAUGUACAAAAAUAUGCAUCUGAAAUAUGGCACUGAAUACUGAGUAGCUAAAACAAUUUUCUAUCUGCGUUCCAUUUUUUAAUUAUAUGGACAGAGUAAUUGAGGAUUUUUCCAGAAAAUUCCAUAGAAAUGGAGAGUUAAGUAAAUUGCAUUAAAAAUGUUAGUUAUAGUUUUUAAUGUUAACUAAGUUUUAUUACAAGUUUAUUGUUUUUAUGUUUAGAAAAUAAAUGGAAAUCCAUAAUAAUUAAAUUAUUGGAUUAGAAAAUACAGACGUUUACUAUAGAUCUAUAAGCUCGAUUUUCAAAUUGUAGCUCCUUUUAACAACAGAAAUACAUUCAUCCUUUUCUAAAGUAGAAGUUUUCUUUAGAGCCCUACAAACGUUCGAUCCUGGAAAAGUUAAAUAAAGAAUAAUGAAUCUUUUAUGUAGACAGAAUUUUACAGAAAAAUCUGGUGUAUGCCAAUAACUCUGUUUGUCAUUGUACCUGACAUGAAGAUACCUCUAGUAACUUUUGCGAGCACAAUUUGCAGAAUGCAGGCUGUAGAAUGUUGAGUGUAGAAUGCAAAACGUGGAACGUGGAAUGUGAAAGAUGAAAUGACAAGAUACGGACUGCAGAAACAUUAAGGCUGUUGGAAAAUUCAUGUGGUCACGUAAAAUGCAUUUCUUAUUCGACACUAUAAAACUAAUUUCGACUGUUUCUUUUUUAAUGAAAAGAUUACUUAGCUGUAUAAAUAUAAAAUAAAAUGUUAAUAUGUACAUAGCAACCUUCGCGUGAGCAGCCAAAGUAAAUAACAUUUAUUUUCUUGUUAACGAUGCAAUCUCAGAAUUUUCUACUGGUCAUCUGUUUCUUGGUUUGUAAAUUCGAGAGUAAAGUUCCCACGGCACGAAACUAAAAAGUUGCAAAGAAUUGAAGAAGAAAAUAGAAAUAAAUCUUCUAAACUUAUCGUUUACCUAUAUUGCUGGUCUGUAAUAUUUUUUAAUUUUUUCAUAACCUAUCUUUCGCUCUAUAUUUUUAUUACGGUUAGGUAUUUUAUGUCUGAUCUUAAUAUUUUUAUUUCGAUUUAAAUUAUAAAAACGAGUAUCUAAAAUUUUGUUUGAAUAAUAAGAAAAAUAUAUUGCUAGAGAAGUUGAAAUAAUUGCUCUGUAAGACGAUUAAGGAAGUGUUUUACAACAUACCGUUAAUUAAUUGCAAAUUUAAUCCUCUCUCUAAUCGACAAAUAAUUUUGGCGCUAAUGUUCAUACAAACACUCCGAUGUCAUUUAAAUUUAAAUGAAUCGUGGAAUUCCUAACUGUUGUCAAGAACUUGUCCCAUUUCUAUUUUCUAACCUUCCAUAAAUUACAAACCACGAGGUUUCUUAGAUUAUUAGUAAAUACCUGUGGAAAACAUUAUUGUGGUAGAUCAACUGCCUAGUAUAAUUACCAUAUAGAUUCAAAAUAAAAAACUUUACUACAUUCUACACUAAUAUCCCGUCCUUUUCCCGGCAAAUGCUGAAUUAAAAAAAACUAAUUUCUUACGCAAAUGAAUAUCUUAAACUAUUCAAAUAGAAUGGAACGCAUAAAGAUCACAUUAAUAAAAUAGAAAUUAGCAUUGUCGUAAGUUCUAGAAUAGAAAAAGGGUUUAAAAUGGAUAAAUUGCACAAAACGUCCGCUAGGGGCGACAGUGGUAGUGAGCGGUUCCGAUCAAGAAAUAAUUACGUCAAACUCCAUUCAGACGCGUUUAGUACUUUACGUAACUUUCACUACCGCGUACAAAGCAGACGCGAGAAUGCAGCGAUAUUCUUAAACGUUUAAGAACCAUCCAAUCUGCGUCAUAUGUAAGAAAUAAUACGACAGAAGUAAAAAGCAUCUGCGUUAAGAAAACCGAUAUUUUUUACGGAAUAAUUGGAACACGGUCAUUCGACGAACCGAACGUUGGCAGAGAGCUGGGAUUCUUGCUCGUUUGUUCGUUGUUGUAAAUUUAGAUCCACGGUACGCCUGGUUCCACGAACGUACGCCUUACCAACGACGACAGAUGGAAACGAGAAGAAAGGAAAACAGCCUCCAGGCUAGCGAAUAUCCUCUGUCGCGCACGCGAUUAGUCGCAAAAGAUGAAUAAUCUCCUGAUAAGCCGAUAAGAAUAAAUAACGGACAUGAGAUUAAGACUACUGCUAUAGAACUAGAUAUAUUCGUGGCGAAAUAUCAAUAGUGACCGACGUCGUGAUAAUGUUUGUUCGAAUUUCCGAAUAGGAAAAAACACAUUUUCUCUUCCGGUAUAAAUUAUCCCCACCUUUGUGUGCUACUAUCAUGGUCCAGAUAAUGAAGAAUCGUGCCAGGAAUUUCAAGGGUUAAUCAAAAGAUUAACGUGGUACAUGGGAAGAUCGGACUGGCAGGUUUGUUGAGAAAUAGGGCGAAUGAUGGUCCAAAUGUCAUACGAGAAAUGAUAGACACCGUUUUAGAAAGCAAGAAGGAAGAGCAAGGAGAAGAAAUGAACUACAGAAACUGCGGAGAAAACGGGAAAAUUAGACACGUAAUGUCUCAUUUUGUCUUUGUCCAUACGCCAUUUGAGAUAAUCUCUUGUGGAAUUUAAAAUGAAUCGAUGUAAUAUUUACAUCGAGACAUUAUAUACAAAAAUUUAAUGAUAUAUGAAUUUAGCAACUUAAAAAUGAAUUUAUAUGCAUCGAGUAAUAGAUAAUAAUUAAGGAAUAAAUUAUUAUUACCGACAGUUCUUCCUCAAUUUAAUGGAAGAUACAAUACAAUCAUCAACAUGAUAAGUACAUAGCAAAUUAUUUCAAUCUAUUCCCCAUUCACAAUAAGAUAAACAAAGAAUAACUUCAUAAUUCCCAUAGUACAUAUCUUUAUACAAGAUCAUUCAAUUAUCUCCUACAACAACAAACUUCCUAGAACUCUUUAUUAUCUAGCACUAAAUGCGCAUUUGUUUUUAGUAAAUUUCAAAUGAGAAUUAAUAAACAUUGAAUAUUUCAUUUCCAUAAUUAUCUGUUAGAGUACACAGAUACAUAGAUAUGCAUGCAUACAUACAUACAUGCACAUAUAUAUGUCGAAGAAUGAAAGACAGCGGGAUUUCCCGUCCGGAAUGUUGGGACAAACCGUAAUACACUAGUCCAGACUUUUACUAUAGCCGCCCUUAAGUAAUAAAAAUAAGAAAUAGUCUUAAUGUUCCAAUCUGACUUUAUGACGAUGGGGUUGGGCUCGAACUGACAUGGCAGGUCAUCGGACAUAGCCACGGUCACGGGAGGGACAUGUACCUGACAGAGGUAUGAAAUGAUUAUAUGGCUCUCCUUAAAACAAAGAUUAACCCGAGAAGCGGGGACAGGAGUGUAUAAGGGCAGCCUCUUUUGGAUUGACAGAGUUAGAGUGAGAGUUAGAGCUAGUCAGUUAGUUAGUGAGUCGUUGGACAAAUUGCCGAUUGAGUCAUCGGGAAGUUACUCGAAUCGAGUAGCACGUUGAUACGAAUCCUCCCGUGGACCGUGGAUUCGUUAUCGAACCUGACUUCGUUGUCACCAUCAUCUCGACCAUCCUAUUACCAUUCCUCAUAGUCUCUUGUAACGUCCACAUUCGUACUGAUAAAUAUUGGCUACGUUCGCGACGAUAAAGUAAGACGGUAAAGGUUCGUCGAACGCCCCAAACUGCCAACCUGCCUCCGACAUAUAUAUCAAUGAAGAAGAAUGUUAAAAUAUAACGCCUAGAAAAUUUUGUCAGAUCUUGAUCUGCGCUUUCUAUAUUUUUGCUAGACCCAAAAUAUCCCUAUACAAUUGAAGGAAGAAAGAAGAAAUGACUUAGUACGAGCGUAGCGACCAAAUAGCACGCAUCACAUUGAUUCAUGCUAUCAAUUUUAGGUUUGUUUUUUACUUUCAUAUAGAGUUUAUUUAAUCUACAGCGUGUUUAAAAGUAUAUAAAGAUAUUUAUUAUGCACUGUAGUUUGUUCUGCGUCGUAUAUUUUGUAUUGCACAUUUUAUUUCAUAUAGUAUACUAUUAUUGCUGUGAUAUUGCAUUAUUAAUAGAUUGGUUAGCAUAUUUUCGCAUGUAUUAGAAAUUUAAAUUAAGUACAGGUACAGAGUACAUACAGCAUACAAAGAUAUACAAAAUAUCAAAAGUGAGGUUACAGUAUUUCAAGGAUAAAGUAAAUCGAUAUUUAAGUCCUAUUCAUUCAUAAAUCAGUCAUAUUCAUAAAUAUACAAUUUACUUGUACUCAUAGGAUAUUAACAUAAUUUGUAUAAUCAUCCUCGUGUUAAUAAAUAAACAAUAAUACCUAAUACAUACAUAUUCUCAACCAAUAAAUCUUUUAAAUAUUAAUUAAGUUGAUAAACCAGGCCACGAUCUUACAAUCUACACAAAGAAAGUAA